AAGGGAAGCAAGUCUCGGGCUGAUGC
rnacentral:piRNA from 1 species